rnacentral:pre_miRNA from 1 species
UAAAUACUCCCUCCGUCCGAAAAUACUUGUCAUAAAAAUGGAUAAAAAGAGAUGUAUCUAAAACUAAAAUACGUCUAGAUACAUUUCCUUUUAUCCAUUUUGAUGACAAGUAUUUCCAGACGGAGGGAGUAUUUG